GCGCUCAUCUGUUUAAAGCUCGGUGGGCAAACGCCGACCCAGCGAACAGAAGAAGACAGAUCCAAUGACUGCUGCACGUUUCCUCUUGAAAAAAAACGAGCAUUUUUGCAAGCAAGUGCAACGAUUGUAAUAAUGCGCACGUUUCUUUGUAUAUAUAUAUAUAUCAGCGUUUAGCGUAGGGCUUUUCGCUGCGUAAAUGAAACCUAUAGUACCAUGUAAAAUAAUACUAUUAAGCUAAAAAGGAGGCGCGAAUGCACUGCCACGCUCUGCCUGUGGUGAUAAACGUGUCCCCAUGAGGUAUGUAUCGAUUCUUUUGUGGUCCCUUCGUUUUGUCUACCAAUGCGGUGUAUUUGUAUUGGUUUAUUUGCACAAUUUUGAAGCACUUGACAAAAAUACAGACUCUAAUCAGUCUGCUUGCUUUUCUUUUUCAGCUCUAGAAUGUCCGAUUUUUGAUCCAGACGCUUUGGUACCAUUUUUUCCAAGAGUGCGUGCCACCACACCAGCGCCGCUUUCUCUGCCUACAAACUCCACUGAUGCAAGACGAAAAGAGGGGCUCUUUACCUGCAAAGGCUCGAGUCAAAGUCUGCUGUACAUGUUUAUUCACAUUGUCUGACCGAUUUUUAAAAUAAAAUAGACACCUGGAUUGAUCUAGGCAAAUGGGUACGAUCUUAUUGGAUAAUUGCUACAUGGGUGAUUGUCUUUCAGCUUGCAACGCGGUAUUUAAACCCAAAUGAUCCAUGAGUGGUUCCUUGUUUCCAAAACAACCAUGUCGAAAGACUGUCCUAGUGGUCGUGGAAAAUAGUCUGUCUGAAAAGGGUCAAAUCAAUGGCUUGCAUCAUAGAGAACUAAAAUUGGCAAAAGAACUGCCCAACGCAUUAUUAAAAACUGGAGGGAGUGUGGGGGACCAUCGUCUUCACUUAAAUGUUUAACAAAAUCAAAUGGCAGAAAAACAAUUUUAAAACUAAGGGUUAUGUUUAAUGGUAAACACACUUUCACAAGCGCAAUGCAAAUGGAACUUGAGGGACUGGGACUAACAAGAGAACCAUUUCAGUGAGGCCAUCUGCAAAAAAAGGAGGCUUCAAGACUGGACUCGAGCAAUGGAGGAAGGCGAAAAGUCCACUCUAAUUUUGAUUCUGAUGUGGUCUGGUGAGUCCUGGUUUAUGCUGUCUAUAAUUGAAAUGAAGCGUCCAAUGACUCAUGGCCACAGGUGGAAGAGGGGCAGAUAUAUUAAAAUACAGGCUAUCGAGCGAGGAUGGUUGUAGAGAAGACCUUUGGCUUUCAAGGCCAAGAAUAUAAACCAGCGAUGUAUUAGCCUUCUACCUGAUAUUGUUCACAGGACCCACCCUCAUGACCUGUGUCAGAGUUUUCUUUUUUUCUAUCAUGUGUUUAAAUUCCUGGGGAAAAAAAGUGUUUAAAUUCAUAAGCGCCGAUUUAUGUUCUUCCAAGUGGGUGCCCAGUCCCAAAAAAAAAGUCGAGGCUAGGAUCGAUCCUUGCCUUGUGGAUGGGAGCCCUGCACUCUACCUGUGGAGCUAACAUAGUGGAACAAAGCUGGCG
rnacentral:lncRNA from 1 species